rnacentral:rRNA from 1 species
AUGGCAACGAGGGAGGUCAGCAUCCAGAUGGCGGGGGUACUGGACGGCCAGCCGGGGUGCGCUCUGUCCCGGGAGUCGCUUGUCGUCCGUGCCGUGCCGCGGACAGCCGGCGCUUCUUUGAUGGAGGCUGCAGACGCAGUCGCCGCCGCCGACAAGAUGACCAAAGACGCGGCCGGGGCGGCUCAGGAUGAGACGCGGUGCUCUGUCUCGUUCAGCGUGCCAGGCUCGCCGUCGGGGCUCCACCUUGCGCAGCUCAGCAUGCCGCCGUUAGUCUGCGCCGGUGAUGCCGAUGUGGGCACCGCUCCUGUGCUGCCGACCGAGUCAAAGGUCCCGUGGGAGCGAGACCGGCGGUUUGACCACUUCAAGACGUUCUAUGGCGGCCUUGAACGGCAGCUCUCCAACCUCCGCGGGGUGCCACAGGACACCGACGUCGAGAAAGGUGCGGCGUCAAAGAUCUCAGAGGAGGACAUCGACAAGGACGAUGAGAUGCCCACUGCUGACCGCUACUUCGCCGCGCUCGAAGGCCCCGAGCUCGAGACCCUCCGUUCGACAGAGGUGGCGGUCCUGCCUAAGGACGAGACAUGGCCGUUCCUGCUCCGGUUUCCAAUUAGCGCCUUUGGGAUGUGCCUUGGCGUGAGCAGCCAGGCCAUGUUGUGGAAGACCCUGGAGUCGGAGCCCUCCACGAAGUUCCUUCACGUGCAUCCGGUCGUCAACCACGUCCUCUGGUGGAUCUCCGUCGCACUCAUGGUGGUCGUCUCCAUCACCUACCUCUUGAAGAUCGUCUUCUACUUCGAGGCUGUCCGCCGUGAGUUCCACCAACCUGUGCGCGCCAACUUCUUCUUUGCGCCAUGGAUCGCCUGCCUCUUCCUUGUCAAGGGUGUGCCGCAUCCGGUGUGGGAGAUCCACCACGCCGUCUGGUACGUGCUAAUGGCGCCCAUCCUGUGCCUCGACCUUAAAAUCUACGGACAAUGGAUGUCUAGCGACGAGCGACGCCUCUCUAAGGUGGCCAACCCAUCGAACCGUCUCGCCGUCGUUGGCAACUUCGUCGGUGCGCUGCUUGGCGCUAGGAUGGGCCUCCGGGAGCUGCCCAUCUUCUUCUUUGUUGUCGGGUUGGCCCACUAUGUGGUGCUCUUCGUCACUCUCUAUCAGCGGCUCCCUACCAACGUGCAGCUCCCCAAGGAGCUCCACCCAGUUUUUUUCCUCUUCGUCGCUGCACCUAGCGUCGCGUCCAUGGCGUGGACAAGGAUCUCUGGCGAGUUCAACGAUGGCGCUAAGCUCCUUUACUUCGUCUCGCUAUUCCUCUACAUGUCGUUGGUGGCGCGCGUCAACCUCUUUCGGGGGUUUAGGUUCUCCCUGGCAUGGUGGGCGUACACAUUCCCAAUGACAAGUGUGGCCUUGGCGACGGCAUUGUAUGCAUCGAAGGUAGACAACGUGCUGACACGGGCACUGGCAGUCGGGUUGUCAGGAACCGCCGUUGUCACAGUCACCGGCGUGUUAGCCGCCACCAUGUACCACGCCUUCGUGCGCAAGGACCUCUUCCCCAAUGAUGUGUCCAUCGCCAUCACACGGCGACGGCCCAAGUUUAGCAAGAUCCUCGCGCAUCUCCGGCCAUCGAGUUAUGAUGUCAAGGAGCUCGUUCUCUCCGUCCCAAAUUUCAGUUCCUAUUCCAGGCAGGGCGCCUACUCUGACUCUGGCGCCAACUCCAGGAUGAACAUCAGUGCCGGUGAGACUCCAAUGGCACACGGGCACGGAAGAGAAGAAUGUGAGACGGUAGGUGCAAAACAUGUUGCUUAG